rnacentral:piRNA from 1 species
GUACUGGAGAAGGACUGCGCUGC